rfam:Aedes albopictus isolate Foshan contig64682, whole genome shotgun sequence.
UGUUCUGUGGCUAAGUUGGUUAAAGCGCCGGUCUAGCGAAUACGGAGUCGUGGGUUCGAAUCCCACCAGAACGC